UACGUAGGGUGCGAGCGUUAAUCGGAAUUACUGGGCGUAAAGCGUGCGCAGGCGGUUUUGUAAGUCAGAUGUGAAAUCCCCGGGCUUAACCUGGGAAUGGCAUUUGGGACUGCAAGGCUGGAGUGCGGCAGAGGAGACUGGAAUUCCCGGUGUAGCAGUGAAAUGCGUAGAUAUCGGGAGGAAUACCGAUGGCGAAGGCAGGUCUCUGGGCUGACACUGACGCUCAUGCACGAAAGCGUGGGGAGCAAACAGG
rnacentral:rRNA from 1 species